AUACGGAGGAUCCGAGCGUUAUCCGGAUUUAUUGGGUUUAAAGGGUGCGUAGGCGGAUUGGAAAGUCAGCGGUGAAAGUUUGCAGCUUAACUGUAAAAUUGCCAUUGAAACUGUCAGUCUUGAGUGCAAAUGAGGUAGGCGGAAUGUGUUGUGUAGCGGUGAAAUGCAUAGAUAUGACACAGAACACCGAUUGCGAAGGCAGCUUGCUGGAAUGUAACUGACGCUGAGGCACGAAAGCGUGGGGAUC
rnacentral:rRNA from 1 species